rnacentral:rRNA from 1 species
CGUAGCAAUACGGAUGCUGGCGACCGGCAAACGGGUGCGGAACACGUACAGAACCUUCCUUCGAGCGGGGAAUAGCCCGGAGAAAUCCGGAUUAAUACCCCAUAGUAUGGUGAAGAGGCAUCUCUUUACUAUUAAAGAUUUAUCACUUGAAGAUGGCUGUGCGGCUGAUUAGGUAGUUGGCGGGGUAACGGCCCACCAAGCCUGCGAUCAGUAACUGGUGUGAGAGCACGACCAGUCACACGGGCACUGAGACACGGGCCCGACUCCUACGGGAGGCAGCAGUAAGGAAUAUUGGUCAAUGGACGAAAGUCUGAACCAGCCAUGCCGCGUGGAGGAUGAAGGUCCUCUGGAUUGUAAACUUCUUUUAUAUGGGACGAAAAAAGACCUUUCCAGGUCGUCUGACGGUACCAUAUGAAUAAGCACCGGCUAACUCCGUGCCAGCAGCCGCGGUAAUACGGAGGGUGCAAGCGUUAUCCGGAUUCACUGGGUUUAAAGGGUGCGUAGGUGGGUUGAUAAGUCAGUGGUGAAAUCCCCGAGCUUAACUUGGGAACUGCCAUUGAUACUAUUGAUCUUGAAUACCGUGGAGGUCAGCGGAAUAUGUCAUGUAGCGGUGAAAUGCUUAGAUAUGACAUAGAACACCAAUUGCGAAGGCAGCUGGCUACGCGAAUAUUGACACUGAUGCACGAAAGCGUGGGGAUCAAACAGGAUUAGAUACCCUGGUAGUCCACGCCCUAAACUAUGGAUACUUGACAUCAGCGAUACACUGUUGGUGUCUGAGCGAAAGCAUUAAGUAUCCCACCUGGGAAGUACGAUCGCAAGAUUGAAACUCAAAGGAAUUGGCCGGGGGUCCGCACAAGCGGUGAAGCAUGUGGUUUAUUCGAUGAUACGCGAGGAACUU